rnacentral:rRNA from 1 species
AGCGGCGAACGGGUGAGUAACACGUAGGUGAUCUGCCCAUCAGACGGGGACAACGAUUGGAAACGAUCGCUAAUACCGGAUAGGACGAAAGUUUAAAGGUGCUUCUGGCACCGCUGAUGGAUGAGCCUGCGGCGCAUUAGCUAGUUGGUAGGGUAAAGGCCUACCAAGGCGACGAUGCGUAGCCGACCUGAGAGGGUGAACGGCCACACUGGGACUGAGACACGGCCCAGACUCCUACGGGAGGCAGCAGCAGGGAAUCUUCGGCAAUGGGCGAAAGCCUGACCGAGCAACGCCGCGUGAAUGAUGAAGGCCUUCGGGUUGUAAAAUUCUGUUAUAAGGGAAGAACGGCUUUAGUAGGAAAUGGCUAGAGUGUGACGGUACCUUAUGAGAAAGCCACGGCUAACUACGCGCCAGCAGCCGCGGUAAUACGUAGGUGGCGAGCGUUAUCCGGAAUUAUUGGGCGUAAAGAGCGCGCAGGUGGUUGAUUAAGUCUGAUGUGAAAGCCCACGGCUUAACCGUGGAGGGUCAUUGGAAACUGGUCGACUUGAGUGCAGAAGAGGGAAGUGGAAUUCCAUGUGUAGCGGUGAAAUGCGUAGAGAUAUGGAGGAACACCAGUGGCGAAGGCGGCUUCCUGGUCUGUAACUGACACUGAGGCGCGAAAGCGUGGGGAGCAAACAGGAUUAGAUACCCUGGUAGUCCACGCCGUAAACGAUGAGUGCUAAGUGU